AUUGAACGCUGGCGGCAGGCCUAACACAUGCAAGUCGAGCGGUAGAGAGGUGCUUGCAUCUCUUGAGAGCGGCGGACGGGUGAGUAAUGCCUAGGAAUCUGCCUGGUAGUGGGGGAUAACGCUCGGAAACGGACGCUAAUACCGCAUACGUCCUACGGGAGAAAGCAGGGGACCUUCGGGCCUUGCGCUAUCAGAUGAGCCUAGGUCGGAUUAGCUAGUUGGUGAAGUAAUGGCUCACCAAGGCGACGAUCCGUAACUGGUCUGAGAGGAUGAUCAGUCACCCUGGAACUGAGACACGGUCCAGACUCCUACGGGAGGCAGCAGUGGGGAAUAUUGGACAAUGUGCGAAAGCCUGAUCCAGCCAUGCCGCGUGUGUGAAGAAGGUCUUCGGAUUGUAAAGCACUUUAAGUUGGGAGGAAGGGUCGUUACCUAAUACGUGACGAUUUUGACGUUACCGACAGAAUAAGCACCGGCUAACUCUGUGCCAGCCGCCGCGGUAAGAC
rnacentral:rRNA from 1 species